rnacentral:rRNA from 1 species
UAGUAACGGCGAGUGAAGAGGGAAAAGCUCAAAUUUUGAAUCUGGUGUCUUUGACUCCCAAGUUGUAAUCUAGAGAAGUGUUUUCCGUGUCGGACCGCGUAUAAGUUCCCUGGAACGGGGCGUCAUAGAGGGUGAGAAUCUCGUAUAUGCCGUGGACUACCGAUGCUCUGUGAUACACUCUCAACGAGUCGAGUUGUUUGGGAAUGCAGCUCAAAAUGGGUGGUAAAUUCCAUCUAAAGCUAAAUAUUGGCGAGAGACCGAUAGCGAACAAGUACCGUGAGGGAAAGAUGAAAAGCACUUUGGAAAGAGAGUGAAACAGUACGUGAAAUUGUUGAAAGGGAAGCGUUUGAAGUCAGUCACGUUUGUUGGGAUUCAGCCUGGCUUCUGCCUGGUGUAUUUCCUAGCCGACGGGUCAGCAUCAGUUUCGACCAAGGGAAAAAGACAUUUGGAAUGUGGCUGUCUUCGGGCAGUGUUAUAGCCUUGUGUUGUAUGCCUUGGUUGGGACUGAGGAAUGCAGCGCGCCUUAUGGCCGGGGGUCGCUCCUCUCGACACGCGCUUAGGA